CACGUAGGCACCAAGCGUUGUCCGGAUUUAUUGGGCGUAAAGAGCUCGUAGGCGGUUCGGUAAGUCGGGUGUGAAAACUUUGGGCUCAACUUGGAGACGCCAUUCGAUACUGCGAUGACUUGAGUCCGGUAGGGGAGUGUGGAAUUCCUGGUGUAGCGGUGAAAUGCGCAGAUAUCAGGAGGAACACCGGCGGCGAAGGCGGCACUCUGGGCCGGUACUGACACUGAGGUGCGAAAGCGUGGGGAGCAAACAGG
rnacentral:rRNA from 1 species